AUACAGAAGCCUCAAGCGUUACCCGGAUUCACUGGGCGUAAAGGGUUCGUAGGCGGUUAUAUUAGUCGGGUGUUAAAUCCUGAGGCUCAACCUCAGGCUCGCAUUCGAAACGGUAUAACUAGAAGAAGUGAGAGGUGAACAGAACUCAUGGUGUAGGGGUGAAAUCCGUCGAUAUCAUGGGGAAUACCAAAUGCGAAGGCAGUUCACUGGCACUUUCUGGACGCUGAGGAACGAAAGCGUGGGUAGCGAACGGGAUUAGAAACCCGAGUAGUCC
rnacentral:rRNA from 1 species